AUUUUGUUUUUCAAGACAAACCCACGCUGGCCUCGAACUCAUGGCAGUCCCUCUGCCUGGGCUCCAAAGCGCUGAGAUUACAUGAGUUGACCGCUAUGCUCCCCUUGUCCGAAGGACACUUUUCCCCUCGGAACUGUAACAUUUAUGGUGUCCUGACCUGAAGAGGCUCCUCCUCCUGUCUGUGCACCCCCUUGGGGUCUGAGCCAUAUUGGGACCCAUCCUUCACCUCCAGUCCAUCUGCAGCAGACUGGCGUUCUGACUCACGGAUAGCUCAGCGCCUCCCCUCUCAGCCCCCCAGGCCCCAUCCACCAGCGGCAUUAGGUUUCGCCAGGCUAAGCCCCUGGCCCCUGUUGGAUGUGCUGACAACCCACUUAACGACUUGGUCCUCCUGGCUUGUGUCUUCCUCUGGUCCUCCCUGAAUCCUGGGGAUGCUUGUGACUACAGACUACGGUGACAUUUUUCCUUCCCAUCCCCUCUCUUAUCCAUGGGAGCAGUAUCGUUCGUACCCUCUCAUUCCCCCUUGGGAUGCCUUUUAGCAAAUCAGCACCCGAACUGAAAAGCCCUAAAUUUGUGCACCUUUGCAGUAAAACUUGACCUCAAUACCCC
ensembl:antisense Gm12257 predicted gene 12257